CGAAUGUUUGAGAGUAGCAAGCAUCAUCACCUCCUGCGCGAACUGCUGCUCCAUCAACCGCACGCCCUCGGGGUUAUUAUCCGGACGCUCGAGCAGCUUGAUGGCGACGUCCUCGCCGUUGUAGGUUCCACGAUAGAGCUUUCCAAACGUCCCCUGCGCGAACGCCGUCCCCAUGGUGAGCUUGUGGAGAUCGAUUGUCCACUCGUGGUAGUCCUUGAGGGACUCGGCGGGGUAGCGGGG
rnacentral:misc_RNA from 1 species